rnacentral:rRNA from 1 species
ACGGGUGAGUAAUACGUAGGGAUCUACCUUAGAGAGGGGGAUAACUCGGGGAAACUCGAGCUAAUACCGCAUAUUGCCUUCGGGUGAAAGGAUGGGACCAGCAAUGGCCAUGCGCUGUAAGAUGAACCUACGUCGGAUUAGCUAGUUGGUAGGGUAAAGGCCUACCAAGGCGAUGAUCCGUAGCUGGUCUGAGAGGAUGAUCAGCCACACUGGGACUGAGACACGGCCCAGACUCCUACGGGAGGCAGCAGUGGGGAAUAUUGGACAAUGGGGGCAACCCUGAUCCAGCAAUGCCGCGUGUGUGAAGAAGGCCUGCGGGUUGUAAAGCACUUUAGUUGGGGAAGAAGUUAAUACUACGAAUAGUGGUGUUGAUUGACAUUACCCAAAGAAUAAGCACCGGCUAACUCUGUGCCAGCAGCCGCGGUAAUACAGAGGGUGCGAGCGUUAAUCGGAAUUACUGGGCGUAAAGGGUGCGUAGGCGGUUAUGUAAGUGAGAUGUGAAAGCCCCGGGCUUAACCUGGGAAUGGCAUCUCAGACUGUAUAGCUAGAGUUGGGUAGAGGGGAGUGGAA